UACGUAGGGGGCAAGCGUUGUCCGGAUUUAUUGGGCGUAAAGAGCGUGUAGGCGGCCUGACAGGUCUGCUGUGAAAACUCGAGGCUCAACCUCGAGAUGUCGGCGGAAACCGUCUGGCUAGAGUCCGGGAAGAGGAGAGUGGAAUUCCUGGUGGUAGCGGUGAAAUGCGCAGAUAUCAGGAAGAACACCUAUGGCGAAGGCAGACUCUGGCCGUACGACGCUGAGGAGCGAAAGCGUGGGGAGCGAACAGG
rnacentral:rRNA from 1 species